UAAGCAUAUCAAUAAGCGGAGGAAAAGAAACCAACAGGGAUUACCUCAGUAACGGCGAGUGAAGCGGUAAAAGCUCAAAUUUGAAAUCUGGCUCUUUUAGAGUCCGAAUUGUAAUUUGUAGAAGAUGCUUCGGGUGUGGUUCCGGUCUAAGUUUCCUUGGAACAGGACGUCAUAGAGGGUGAGAAUCCCGUAUGUGACUGGAUACCUAUGCUCAUGUGAAGCUCUUUCGACGAGUCGAGUUGUUUGGGAAUGCAGCUCAAAAUGGGAGGUAUAUUUCUUCUAAAGCUAAAUAUUGGCCAGAGACCGAUAGCGCACAAGUAGAGUGAUCGAAAGAUGAAAAGCACUUUGGAAAGAGAGUUAAACAGUACGUGAAAUUGUUGAAAGGGAAGCGCUUGCAAUCAGACUUGCACUUGGUGUUCAUCAGGGUCUCGUACCCUGUGUACUUCAUCAAGUUCAGGCCAGCAUCAGUUUGAGUGGUUAGAUAAAGGCUUAGAGAAUGUGGCCCUCUUCGGGGGGUGUUAUAGCUCUAGGUGCAAUGUAGCCUACUUGGACUGAGGACCGCGCUUCGGCUAGGAUGCUGGCGUAAUGGUUGUAAGCGACCCGUCUUGAAACACGGACCAAGGAGUGUACCUAAUAUGCGAGUGUUUGGGUGUUAAACCCAUACGCGUAAUGAAAGUGAACGCUGGUGAGAACCCUUAAGGGUGCAUCAUCGACCGAUCUUGAUGUCUUCGGAUGGAUUUGAGUAAGAGCAUAUUGGGUGCGACCCGAAAGAUGGUGAUCUAUACGUGAAUAGGGUGAAGCCAGAGGAAACUCUGGUGGAGGCUCGCAGCGGUUCUGACGUGCAAAUCGAUCGUCAAAUUUGCGUAUAGGGCGAAAGACUAAUCGAACCAUCUAGUAGCUGGUUCCUGCCGAA
rnacentral:rRNA from 1 species